GCCUAUUCCCGGGUGCACCGGACUUCUAAUCCGACGGCUGCAGGUUCGAAUCCUGCCGAGGGCG
rnacentral:tRNA from 1 species